GGGCCCGCACAAGCAGUGGAGUAUGUGGUUUAAUUCGAAGCAACGCGAAGAACCUUACCAGGGCUUGACAUCCCACUAACGAAGCAGAGAUGCAUUAGGUGCCCUUUUUGGGAAAGUGGAGACAGGUGGUGCAUGGUUGUCGUCAGCUCGUGUCGUGAGAUGUUGGGUUAAGUCCCGCAACGAGCGCAACCCUUACGGUUAGUUGCUACGCAAGAGCACUCUAGCCGGACUGCCGUUGACAAAACGGAGGAAGGCGGGGACGACGUCAAAUCAUCAUGCCCCUUAUGUCCUGGGCUACACACGUACUACAAUGGCGGUCAACAGAGGGAAGCGAAGCAGCGAUGCCAAGCGAAUCCCAAAAAGCCGUCUCAGUUCAGAUUGCAGGCUGCAACCCGCCUGCAUGAAGGUGGAAUUGCUAGUAAUCGCGGAUCAGCAUGCCGCGGUGAAUACGUUCCCGGGCCUU
rnacentral:rRNA from 1 species